rnacentral:tRNA from 1 species
GGGCGUAGCGUCAUGGCUCAGCGGUAGAGCGCUGCCCCGACAAGGCAGAUAUCGGCGGUUCGAACCCGUCUGCGCCCACCA